rnacentral:rRNA from 1 species
AUUGAACGCUGGCGGCAGGCCUAACACAUGCAAGUCGAGCGGCAGCGCGGGGGCAACCCUGGCGGCGAGCGGCGAACGGGUGAGUAAUACAUGGGAAUCUGCCUGGUAGUGGGGGAUAACUCUGGGAAACUAGAGGUAAUACCGCAUACGUCCUACGGGAGAAAGGGGGGGAUCUUCGGACCUCUCGCUAUCAGAGGAGCCCAUGUCCGAUUAGCUAGUUGGUGAGGUAAAGGCUCACCAAGGCGACGAUCGGUAACUGGUCUGAGAGGAUGGUCAGUCACACUGGAACUGAGACACGGUCCAGACUCCUACGGGAGGCAGCAGUGGGGAAUAUUGGACAAUGGGGGCAACCCUGAUCCAGCCAUGCCGCGUGUGUGAAGAAGGCC